GUCUACGGCCAUGUCACCCUGAAUGUGCCCAAUCUCAUCUGAUCUCAGAAGCAGGGACGGGCCUGGUUAGUACUUAAAUGGGAGACCACCUAGGAAGACCAGGUGUUGUAGGCG
rnacentral:rRNA from 1 species